rnacentral:rRNA from 1 species
UACGUAGGGACCGAGCGUUGUCCGGAAUCAUUGGGCGUAAAGAGCGUGUAGGCGGCUAUUUAAGUCCUGCGUGAAAUCCUGCGGCUCAACCGCAGACGGUCGUGGGAAACUGGAUGGCUAGAGUGCGGGAGAGGAGAGUGGAAUUCCCGGUGUAGCGGUGAAAUGCGUAGAGAUCGGAAAGAACACCAACGGCGAAAGCACUCUGCUGGGCCGACACUGACACUGAGAGACGAAAGCUAGGGGAGCGAAUGGG